AAAUUCUUGGAUUGCCGAAAGACAAACUGCUGCGAAAGCGUCUGCCAAGGAUGUUUUCAUUGAUCAAGAACGAAAGUAAGGGGAUCGAAGACGAUCAGAUACCGUCGUAGUCUUUACUAUAAACGAUGAGGACUGGGGAUCGGGCGAGGCAUUACGAUGACCCGCCCGGCACCCUUCGAGAAAUCAAAGUGUUUGCUUUCUGGGGGGAGUAUGGUCGCAAGUCUGAAACUUAAAGGAAUUGACGGAAGGGCAUCACCGGGUGUGGAGCCUGCGGCUUAAUUUGACUCAACACGGGAAAACUUACCAGGUCAGGACAUAGUGAGGAUUGACAGAUUGAGAGCUCUUUCUUGAUUCUAUGGUUGGUGGUGCAUGGCCGUUCUUAGUUGGUGGAGUGAUUUGUCUGGUUAAUUCCGUUAACGAGCGAGACCUGGGCGUGCUAACUAGGGGUGAGUACCAUUUUGGUAGUCGCAGCCCUUCUUAGACGGACUGUGGGCGUCUAGCCCACGGAAGCUCCAGGCAAUAACAGGUCUGAGAUGCCCUUAGAUGUUCUGGGCCGCACGCGUGCUACACUGAGUGGAUCAGCGGGUUAGGUAACACGAAAGUGUGUCCUAAUCUUCAAAUCCGCUCGUGAUGGGGAUUGACGGUUGCAAUUUUCCGUCAUGAACGAGGAAUACCUUGUAAGCGCGUUUCAUCAUAACGCGCUGAAUACGUCCCUGCCCUUUGUACACACCGCCCGUCGCUCCUACCGAUUGAGUGGUCCGGUGAGGCUUUGGGACCUAAGCGGAAAAAGCGUUUCGCUUGUUCUGCUCGGGAAACUCAGUCGAACCUUAUCAUUUA
rnacentral:rRNA from 1 species